UACGUAGGUGGCAAGCGUUAUCCGGAAUUAUUGGGCGUAAAGCGCGCGUAGGCGGUUUUUUAAGUCUGAUGUGAAAGCCCACGGCUCAACCGUGGAGGGUCAUUGGAAACUGGAAAACUUGAGUGCAGAAGAGGAAAGUGGAAUUCCAUGUGUAGCGGUGAAAUGCGCAGAGAUAUGGAGGAACACCAGUGGCGAAGGCGACUUUCUGGUCUGNUAACUGACGCUGAUGUGCGAAAGCGUGGGGAUCAAACAGGAUUAGAU
rnacentral:rRNA from 1 species